rnacentral:rRNA from 1 species
AUUGAACGCUGGCGGCAGGCCUAACACAUGCAAGUCGAGCGGAUGAAGGGAGCUUGCUCCUGGAUUCAGCGGCGGACGGGUGAGUAAUGCCUAGGAAUCUGCCUGGUAGUGGGGGAUAACGUCCGGAAACGGGCGCUAAUACCGCAUACGUCCUGAGGGAGAAAGUGGGGGAUCUUCGGACCUCACGCUAUCAGAUGAGCCUAGGUCGGAUUAGCUAGUUGGUGGGGUAAAGGCCUACCAAGGCGACGAUCCGUAACUGGUCUGAGAGGAUGAUCAGUUACACUGGAACUGAGACACGGUCCAGACUCCUACGGGAGGCAGCAGUGGGGAAUAUUGGACAAUGGGCGAAAGCCUGAUCCAGCCAUGCCGCGUGUGUGAAGAAGGUCUUCGGAUUGUAAAGCACCUUAAGUUGGGAGGAAGGGCAGUAAGUUAAUACCUUGCUGUUUUGACGUUACCAACAGAAUAAGCACCGGCUAACUUCGUG